GCGGAUGUGGCGGAAUUGGCAGACGCACCAGAUUUAGGAUCUGGCGCCGCAAGGCGUGGGGGUUCGAUUCCCUCCAUCCGCA
rnacentral:tRNA from 1 species